UGCAGUCGAGCGAACGGACGAGAAGCUUGCUUCUCUGAUGUUAGCGGCGGACGGGUGAGUAACACGUGGAUAACCUACCUAUAAGACUGGGAUAACUUCGGGAAACCGGAGCUAAUACCGGAUAAUAUUUUGAACCGCAUGGUUCAAAAGUGAAAGACGGUCUUGCUGUCACUUAUAGAUGGAUCCGCGCUGCAUUAGCUAGUUGGUAAGGUAACGGCUUACCAAGGCAACGAUGCAUAGCCGACCUGAGAGGGUGAUCGGCCACACUGGAACUGAGACACGGUCCAGACUCCUACGGGAGGCAGCAGUAGGGAAUCUUCCGCAAUGGGCGAAAGCCUGACGGAGCAACGCCGCGUGAGUGAUGAAGGUCUUCGGAUCGUAAAACUCUGUUAUUAGGGAAGAACAUAUGUGUAAGUAACUGUGCACAUCUUGACGGUACCUAAUCAGAAAGCCACGGCUAACUACGUGCCAGCAGCCGCGGUAAUACGUAGGUGGCAAGCGUUAUCCGGAAUUAUUGGGCGUAAAGCGCGCGUAGGCGGUUUUUUAAGUCUGAUGUGAAAGCCCACGGCUCAACCGUGGAGGGUCAUUGGAAACUGGAAAACUUGAGUGCAGAAGAGGAAAGUGGAAUUCCAUGUGUAGCGGUGAAAUGCGCAGAGAUAUGGAGGAACACCAGUGGCGAAGGCGACUUUCUGGUCUGUAACUGACGCUGAUGUGCGAAAGCGUGGGGAUCAAACAGGA
rnacentral:rRNA from 1 species